rnacentral:piRNA from 1 species
UACUUCAGCAACGUUCUCGCG